rnacentral:ncRNA from 2 species
UGUAAUGUUAAAUUUAAAAAUCGUAUAUCCUCAGAAAUAUGGUCUGAGAGUCUCUACCCAAUUCCCGUAUAAAGAAUUGGACUACGAGUUAAAUUUUACUUUAU